AGUCCUAUAGCUCAGUGGUAGAGCAAUGUACUUAUGGGAAACCUUGGCGUGAUAUGGGUCCGUUCACGUGAGAUGCAUGGGCCGCGAGUUCAACCCUCGCUAGGACUA
rfam:Rhizoctonia solani AG-1 IB, isolate 7/3/14, WGS project CAOJ01000000 data, contig: 00808